ensembl:lncRNA
UUUAAAUACAUUGCAUGCCUGUCCUCUUUGAGAUACAACCAUUAGAAUGGAGGCUGAAACGACAAAGUUGCUUAAUAACGGCUCACGCUGCAUAUUUUUCAAUACAGAUUCAGACGACUAUCGAUGUGUGGUGAUUUUAACGGUGAAGCGAGCAACGGGCACCUUCUCAUUAGUUGGAUGCUUUUUCAUGCUGUUUGUCAUCUGGUUGCUGCGCAGGUAUCAGUCUUUGGCUCAGAAGAUGAUUCUUAGCCUGACAGUAGCAGCCUUCUUUGACAGCGCAGCAUAUGUCAUGGGCGAGUCCCAUCCGGAAGGCUUUCUGUGCGCUUUUCAGGGGCUGUGGCUCACUUACUUUGACUGGUGUGCCCUGGCCUGGGUCUGCCUCAUCACAUUUAACCUCUACCUCAACCUGGUCAGAGAGAUCAGCACCAGCAGAUAUGAGACAUUGUACCAUGUGACCGCCUGGGGGCUGCCUCUCAUCAUGGCUGUCCUGCCCUUGCUGAAGGGCUGCUACGGUCCGGCGGGAGCCUGGUGCUGGAUCACAGACAAUCACGUAGCCUGGAGAUUUGGGAUGCUCCCAGGCGCCUUCCACCCCGUGGAUCCCUCCUUCGCCCUGACACUGCUACACGUGCUGACCGCUCCGCUCCACGGCCUGGCCAACGCGUUCGUCUUCGGGCUGGACAGGGACACCUGGGGCCUGCUCAGCCCCACGGGCAUACAGCUGGCCCUGCGGUCCCGACUGUGUGACAGCACACGUAUCGGGGAGUACCACCCCGGGGCGGUGCGCUACACGCAGGCUGACCUGACGGAGGACGAGGAGGACCUGGACGCCAACGUGCUCUUCUUCUCACCCCACAUGACCCUGAAGGACCGCACGCCCUGAGAGGGGAGGAGGGAGGAGGGAGGGAGGGAGGGAGGGAGAGAGAGAG